UAGGGAUACUUCAUGUCUGUAUGUAGCACUUAAUUUUUGAAAUUUCAUGUGCUUUGCAAGCAACUCAUGUUUCAAUACCCUUUAAGAAUCAGGCAAGUGUUUGUCUUUCUUUCAAAAGGCAAACAUGCUCAGAGAGCUUAGGCCACUAGCUCAAGGGUCAGGAACGCCCAGCUAAGUACCAUCCAUACCAGCCUCUUCCACCAUGCUCCCCACUAAUUUCUCAUUAUUUGUCCACUGUUAGUGAUAGCUCUGACAGCAACUAAGGUAUGGGUACAACUGUUGUGGCCAUCAGACUUCUCCUAUGCUCAUUUCCACUGACUGUCUACUCAUUGUAACAGCAUGGAACAACUUUACAGUACAGCUAUUAUCACCUGACCCUUGAUACUAGUAAUUGAGAAAUUUGUAAGGAGUUCAACGUAGAUAAUUUCUUGUUUUAAUUUCAGUUCCCCUCUGACCCUAUCUGAAUUUAAUUUAUACACAUAUCUACAUGCAUAAAAUGAAUAAUCAAUAUUUAUCUACAAACAAGAAUUCAAUUACAAGUUCUGAAACUGAAACAAAAAUCCUUUUUUUUUUUUUUUUUUUUUAAUUCCAAGAUUUCUGGUGCUUCAUGAACUAAAUAUUCAGAAUCUGCAGGCAUAAACUAGUUUUUGACAAUGUUCUUGGGGUUUUGUUUUUAACUGAGAAGUCUAAAGAGAAUUUUCAUUCACAUUCCCAAUGUAAUAUUCCUUUAAUCUAAAAAGGAGGAGUCAGGUGUAGCGCGACAAUUUCCAACAAUGAAAUACAUGUGGUCAACCAGCAGCGAGACUCAGACAACCACCUGCUGACACGGCUCAGCCCAGGAUGGUGCCAGAGUCUCUGUGCAACCAAGGCAGGACAUGCAAGAACUGGUUUCCCAGGAACUACAAGCUGCAGACAUGAGAACAGCCAUGUGAAGACUGGCUAAUGAAGAAGGAGCCUGGAUAAUUAAUAUUGCCAUUUGUUCCCACCCAGUUUAAAAAGAACACAAAACAAAACAAAACUUGCCAACAACUGAGAAAUCGUAACUAAAUUCACUCUAAGUCCCAAAGGCAGCAUAAAUUACUUGAAAUCUAUUCAGCUUGUUAAUGUAAUUCAAAAUUCUCCAUUGAGUUUAUUACACAAAAAGGAGCUUAAGUAUACCUGAAAAUACCAUGAUUAUGUUUUUUAACCUUCUCCCACAUAAACACCCUUCACAAAACAGCUGUUGCCAGGCAGCUUAUAUCCUGUUCUUUAACAAGAAACAAUUUUAUUUCAAGAACUUCAAAACUACCUCAAACUACAGGAAACAUAAGGAAAACCUUCAAAUCCAUAUAGUUAAGAGUUCAAGCAAAAUUCUUAACUAUAUGGAUAACAUGAUUAUCAACACAUGAUUUUGCUAACAUGAUUAGCUAAAAGGCUGGCUCCAGUCCUCCCUGCCCAGACAGGUGGACUACUGUCUUGUUCCAGAACCAAACUUAGUUUUCCAAGGAGUCCCACCUGCUCGACUCAAGAGCUUUUACGGUUUGCACACAACAAUCACACGCCUUUUUUUUUUUGUAGACAACUGCUGGAAUUGGGUUAUUAAAAAUAAUAAUAAUAAUAAAAUGACUUAUUUUUGAAAUUAUAUGUCCUCUGUUCAUCUCCUUUUCACUCCUAGUCCCAUUAUCUACAAUUUAGAAAAUGACUUUUUUCCACAGUUUUAUAUUGGUGUUCAAAUCUGAAAAGCUAAAAGGGGAUCACAUGACUUACAGGGCCAGAAGCCAGGGUUUUCUGUUGAAGGAUGGUUCAGAUUUAGUUUAGAGGCAUUACAAAAACAAAAGGGACAAGACGCCUGCCAAAAGGGUUAAGACUACACUCAUACAUCCCUUUCCAAUGUGCAAGUGUCAGCAUCUUUGCAACAGACUCUAAACUUGCCUGUGCAAAUAGCAGUGCCUCUGCUGAUCAAAUCCCAUUCCAUUCCAGGUACUGAAAUUUCUCUUUAGAAUGUAAGAAUUAUUUUAUCACCACCUAAAAUGUGAAAUUUCCCCUUAAAAUUACUACAGCACAGAUUAACAAGCUAUAACACAGAAACUUUCCUAUGUAAUAGAUGAGUGAUAAUCAUCAUACAUAUUUCAUUAUCAGAGAUGCCCAUAUGGAAGACAUCCAGUAUACUGUUGGGGUGUUUGGCUAAAGUAUGGGAUACGGAAAUACUUUGUUUAGAAAAGUCAUGUCAGAUUUCCACGCAUUUUCUGAGGCUCACUCUUUGGAAAUCAGAAAACUGACUUGAAAAUGACUGUGGAAAACAAUUAUUGCAAUUUCAUUUUUUAAGCACGUUUAGGCAUUUUCAGGUAACAGUUGCAAAAUACACAGCUAAUACAGCAUAUUUAUGGGAGAUACAUGAUGAUGAAGACAUUUUAUCUGUACUCAGCAAGUGCUCUGGCAAGUAAAGAAACUGACUGAACUUAUGGUAAAAGAUCUGUACAGCACACAGUGAACUGAGUUUAAUACAUCUCUCCUCAAACAUCCCUUAAAACCUUUUUUCGGUGGCUACGUUAUACAGAAUCUCCUCUAGCCUUUAUUUGUCAUCCAAAUACAUUUUUUAUGCUACUGAACACACUGCUAUCAAUAGCAGAAUAAUAGCUAGAAGCAGUAUCUAUUUGCAAUAUACUCCAUGUCUUCUACCUAAAGGAUACACAAGGGACAGAGCUUGCUCCAAAUAAAUACUCUGUGCCAGUAUUUAUGCCGUGCUUUCAGCUCCAAAGCCUCUCCUGGUGAGAGAAAACAGCUCUGCAGGAAUGUUUCAGUGCUUCUGCACCUGGGUGAGGGUCCUUCUACACUGAACACGCAGCUUUUGCUGCCCUGGCUUACUGUUCAACCAUUCUAGACCUCAAAAGUUUAGCACAUCUGAUCUAUUUGAAAAUAAAUGAGAACAGACUGAAGCCCAGCGAUCAGACUGUAACAAAAAUGAAAGCACAAGCUUCCAUCAUUUUGGCUGACAGAUUUCUCUGACAGGAAUGUGAGAGAUUUAAAUGCACUUUCCAAGGAUGCUGGGUUGGGCAGAAACCCAAACACUCAGACUGGCCACACUCCAAAUGUGUGAGCUCAUGGAUUUCACUGUGUACAAACAGGUUCCUAAAGGGACAAGAAAGAUGAAAAUACUCAGCAGGAACUUUAUUUUGGUCUCAACAGCACAGAAAGUCCCUGCUCGUAUCAGUAAACAACUGCCACCCUUCUACUGCCACGAUAAGCAACAGGCCGUCCCAGGGCUCGUUCCCAGCGCAGAGGCAACACAGUGGCUGCAAAGGAGCGGGCCAGGAUCUUCCUUCCUCGAUGAUUCAGCCCCGGACGAGUGGCGCGGUGCUGUGGGGCCAGCGCGCCCUGCCAAUGGGCGGGCAGGGCAGGGCCGGGCUGCGCGCCCCCGCGCCCCGCAGCGCAGAACUGGGGUGACUGCACCAGCAAGGCCCUGCCCUGGGGCCGGCUAACGAAGAGAGCCGUGCCAACUGACAGCAAGGUCUUGAAGCGGGGAAAGAGAGGGAGGAGAUGGAGUAGGUCAAGGAAAACCUGCGAGGCAAGCCAUGGGUGAUAAACAGAAGCUAAAUGAACGCGCAAGGAAAAAAGACUAGAACCCGCAAAAAAAGCAGAAACCUACAAAAGAGGAAAUGGAUCAAGACUGGGUGAGAAAUGGUACAGCACUUGCUUUCUUCCAGCUUCCAGAGAGAAGGAAAUGAGCAGCAGGAUCAUAUUUACAAAGCACGAUGUUUGUAGGGCAAAAUCCUAAGAUGACUCCAGAGCUUCCUACUUGAACCAAGCUGCUGAGUACUACUAUCCAGGACUCUCAUGCUCUGCAACUCAC